GUUAGUUCUUCAAGCUCUGCUUCAAUGGUGAGUGGAGAAAACCUUCCUCUUGGAAAGUUUUCCCCGUUACUAACACAACCUUAAGAAGAAUAGAGGUUCAAGGUACUGGCGGUUUUCGCGCUCACUUCAAGCUGAUUCGAACUUGCUUUCGAAUUUCUCGUCGAUUUGAAGUUAUUUUGCUUAAUGGGUCAUCACUGGUUUGGUUUAUCAUGUGGGCGAGAAGAAUUUACACUUUUGGCUUGGAUUUUAGGAAAGUUCGGAUGCUCAGAUCAUUAGGUUAGACUUUUGGUUUUGGUAGACUCAUUGUAUCUCCAUUAAGCAUUGAAGGGCUUACAAAUUUACUCGAGUUUGAAGACAAUGAGGACAUUCAAACCUCAUUAUUUAAGGUUCCGAUUCCAGUUCUAGGUCCAGUUUACUUGUACAGUGGUGUCUUGUACAUUCAUUGGUCUGGUGGUUCUUGUAUAGAUGAACAGCUGUUUGAUCUAAGUACCAGGGAUCUCAAAUUUGUGUAUAAUAUACACCAUUUUGGAAACACCCUUUCUCGAGGGAAUUUCAAGUGGUUAAAAAUCAUCUGGAAAGCCAAGAGAUUGGGACAUAUGAUAUGAUACUCCAAGUUGCUAGGGUUUCUUCUUCUUUGGUUUGUUUAUCCGCAAUUGGAUAAAGAGAUCUCAAUUCUUUGAGUAUGUUCCUUGUCUGCGUUUGCUCAUUGCUUCCCGUUACAGGAAGCAGGCUUUGCUUCACUGUUUAUGAUAGUUUGGUUCGAUAUUCCAUUCUUUGUUAUCAUUUUAAUGUAUGGCUUUUAAUAGCUUUCGUGCAGGAUGAGGUAAACAAUAUCAUAGAGAAAUGGAAAAGUUCCACAACGACGUAGGGGCAAGCCCCGUUAUGGAAAAGAUCAUGCUUGCAUGAUGGAGUGGCUGAAAUCUCGUCGGGUUUUCCGUUGUGAGGUCGGCUGAUUAUGUCACGUACUGCAUUGAAGAAGUCUGGAUCCUUGUGGAAGGAAGUUCCUCGUUUCAGACAGCUUUCGUUGAAAUGAAAGGACAAAAUAAUGCAUCUCUUUGAAGGCGGGUGAGUUUCUUGGAUUGAAGAAAAUAAAACAUGGAAUCCAUUUUACCUCCACCGGAGAGCAUACCUUAUCUUUUCACAGAGAGAAAAAGAUCUAUAAAUGGUGAUAUGGCAAUAAAAGGAGUCCAGAAACCGAAGAGCAAUAUAUGCCUUCCCUUUGGAACUCUUCAAGUUACUCCGGUCUGUUAUCUCACAAAAUUUCUUCAUUUAUCUGCAUAAGUACAUAUUGGAGUUGCUUUGGUUGUUCAAUCUUGAAAACUAUCUGGUCGAUAUUUAUGUUUCUGAAAUCACGCCUGCCCUUGUUGCUGGAAAUUCCCUUGUCCUGAAGUCUUUGGCAUGUGUGAAAUUAUAGCUUCCAUGUCAAUUGGAACUCAUCCGACUAAAUCUUCUUCUAUGCAAGGUUUCUGUAGGAGCCCUUCUCAUGGAGGAUUGCUUCCACCAUGCUGGUUUUCCCAGCGGGAUAAUAAGUUGUGUUACUGGGAAAGCUUCCGAGAAUGGUGGAUUCUUACCAUGACCCUAGGAUCGAUUGAGUUAGGGGGGAAGACGCAAAGAUGGAGGCAUCAAAGCAUGCUGGCAUGAUGCCUCUACCUAUGAAACUCAAUGUAAAGCGGCGAUUACGUUGUUCCGACAUGAGGAUUACUGCUUGCGAAGACCCACUUGGGUUCUUGCUUGUUAUCCCGAUCGUUUCAUUACCAUCGAAGAAAGGGUUUCCCUGAUAAGCUACGUCAAUUCAUAUUCGCGAUGUCUAAGUUUUACACAAAUGGAUUGUUAUCACGGGUAAGCAAAUGUAAGACAUGGGAAUGGUCCAGAGAUCGAUUCCGCACCAGCUCGUUGAAAUCGGCGGUUACCCUUUUCCGGUAUCGGAAAGUGGGUUUGAGUCGCACGAUAUCGCGAAAACACGGCAAUAUGAUGGACUAAUGGAGAUGGUUUUUUCGAUACGGCCUUUGAAUAUGUUAGUGUAGAACAUAGAACGGACUCUUUGUAGUAGAGAAUUGUCUUGUGUCAGUGUGAGAACGUAUGUGUCUUGUUGCAUACGAAAUAUGUACGAACGUGGCUUCGGACAGGGAUUCGAUUUAAAACGACGCUGUUUAAAGAU